rnacentral:rRNA from 1 species
AGCGAACGCUGGCGGCAGGCCUAACACAUGCAAGUCGAACGAACCUUUCGGGGUUAGUGGCGGACGGGUGAGUAACACGUGGGAACGUGCCUUUAGGUUCGGAAUAACUCAGGGAAACUUGUGCUAAUACCGAAUGUGCCCUUCGGGGGCAAGAUUUAUCGCCUUUAGAGCGGCCCGCGUCUGAUUAGCUAGUUGGUUGAGGUAAUGGCUCACCAAGGCGACGAUCAGUAGCUGGUCUGAGAGGAUGAUCAGCCACAUUGGGACUGAGACACGGACCAAACUCCUACGGGAGGCAGCAGUGGGGAAUCUUGCGCAAUGGGCGAAAGCCUGACGCAGCCAGGCCGCGUGAAUGAUGAAGGUCUUAGGAUUGUAAAAUUCUUUCACCGGGGACGAUAAUGACGGUACCCGGAGAAGAAGCCCCGGCUAACUUCGUG